rnacentral:misc_RNA from 1 species
UUAACUAUUAUAUAGUACUCAGACAUCACUGAUAAAAGAGUUUGGGUCCUCUGGCGGGCGCGAUCAGCCGGGGCCGACGCCUUAAAGGACGGCCCGCCAAAGCAACAAAAGUAAAUAAACACAGGGUGUAUGAUAUCUCCCUUCCCAGACCGAUGCGUUUUACGGCACCGGUCAGGUCCGGUUACAUUAAUGAUCCUUCCGCAGGUUCACCUACGGAAA